CUGUUUUUUAUACUUAACGAUAAAUACGCGUUUUCCAUAAAUAUCAUAAAUCAUUUCUCGACAUUAAUGUCACAUGAAAACUUCGGUUUGCUAAAAAGAAAGUACAUUUCAUGACCGUAUAAAUUUGGUUAUGUUGGUAUUUACUGUUUACUUAAACAAAUAAUUCACGUAUAACCAAUUUUCGGUCAGUAAAACACGGUAUUCGGAUAUUCUGAUCAGUAAAAUAUAUCAAUGCAGCAAACCAAUCUAUACAUAA